UCUUCACAGCGCUGGGCAGUAGUCAGUGGUGGAAGAAGCACUCAGAUUCUGUAUUUCAGUAAAAGCAGCAAAACCACAAAGUAAAAAUACUGUUACAAGUCAAAGUCCUGCAUUCAGAAGUCCACUUCAGUAAAAGUACAUCAAGAUAUACUGUAUAUAUCAAAAGUUUAUAAAGUAUCAGCAAAACUUAAUUUUUACUUUUGCUACUUUAAGUAAGUUUUAAGUAUUAUGUUCAUCCUAUGUUUUGUAUGCAAGAUCAAAGUAACUAUCUGUCUGAUUUUAUUUAGUGAAGUAAAAAGUACAAUAUUUCUCUCUGAAAUGCAGUGAAGGAGAAGUACCUUAAACAUUUUACUUAAGCACAGUAUUUGAGUAAUUGUACCCCCAUCUGUCUGUCAUGGUUUUGUGUUUGGUUAUUUCCUGUUUUAUUUUGAAAUAUUCUCCAUCCCUCAUGUAGUUUUGCUUCCUGUCUUUGAUUGCUGUGAUUGUUUUCACCUGUCUCGUUGUCUCCCCUACCUGAGUGUGUUCAGUCUGCGUCUUCCUCUGUUCUGCGUCAGGUCGCUGUUGUACGUCUGUUAAGCUUCCCGACCUCACUGCUCUGUUUCUGGUGUACCUUCGUUGAUGGACUUGUGGUUUUUGUCGGCUCCCUGUUGGACUCGUCUGCCUGUUUUUGACUGCUUACCUGGUUGUGACCACUGCCUGCCUGUAACCUGAGUGAUCCUUGUUUUCAUUGAAGCUGUUGAACUGAACCUGCUCUGCCUGCUGUCUGCGUUUGGGUCCUCUCCCUGUUUCCCGGCUUGACGCUUAAACGUGACAGUUUGUCUAUAAAUGUGUUUGUUAAUCUGAGUGUCAGUCAGAGUCUCAGACCUGAAUCUGAGAUCUGAGCAGCACGAGAACGAAAUUUCUCACUGAUAGUUUAUGAAAGAGGUGCAGCUGCAAAGCCGUCCAUCGAGAUAUUUGAAAUGAAGGACAGGAUUCUGCUGCAGUGUGAGGUUCAAGGAGCUUCUCCACCGCUGAAGCUACAGUGGCAGGACAGAGCUGGAAACAACCUUUCUGCUGAGGAGACACACACAGAAAGAGGAAGCCGCUACAACAUCACCCU